UACGUAGGUGACGAGCGUUAUCCGGAUUUAUUGGGCGUAAAGCGUACGCAGGCGGUUUUUUAAGUUUGACGUGAAACCUCCCGGCUUAACUGGGAGAAUGCGUUGAAAACUGGAGAACUUGAGGCAAUGAGAGGUAUGCAGAAUUCCCGGUGUAGUGGUGGAAUGCGUAGAUAUCGGGGGGAAUACCAGUGGCGAAAGCGGCAUACCAGCAUUGUACUGACGCUCAUGUACGAAAGCGUGGGUAGCAAACGGG
rnacentral:rRNA from 1 species